rnacentral:rRNA from 1 species
UACGUAGGGUGCGAGCGUUAAUCGGAAUUACUGGGCGUAAAGCGUGCGCAGGCGGUGAUGUAAGACCGAUGUGAAAUCCCCGGGCUUAACCUGGGAACUGCAUUGGUGACUGCAUUGCUGGAGUAUGGCAGAGGGGGGUGGAAUUCCACGCGUAGCAGUGAAAUGCGUAGAGAUGUGGAGGAACACCGAUGGCGAAGGCAGCCCCCUGGGCCAAUACUGACGCUCAUGCACGAAAGCGUGGGGAGCAAACAGG